rnacentral:lncRNA from 1 species
UUUUUCAAUGCUUUUGUAUAUCCUAAAGAGGAAAUAAUUUUCUUCAUCUUCUCCUAUUCAUUGACCUUCUCCGUGUACUAAUUAUAUGCGAUACAAAAAUAAAUAAUAUGCAUCUCUGCUUCCAGGUAGCUUACAGUUUUCCAGGAGAUUCAAGCCCUCAGACAGUGAUUUCUCUGACUGAGAUGAACUUAACACAGGGAGUAGAAAGAGAUGAUUGAUUCGUUCUAGCAGAGAAAGAAAACAAUAGAAUUUGAAUCUAAAAUUAUUUUUAUCUCAUUUUUAAAAUUUUCAGUUUUUAUCUUUGUUGUAUAACAUAUAAAUGUUAGUUCAGUAUAAUAAUCCAUAAGUACAUAUACUUAAUAUAAGUGGUGUAUGCUCAAAAAUUUUCACUGUUAGAGCACAGGAUCAUUACAGUUUAGUCAGCACUGUCCUAACGUAAACCUAAAUAAUACCAUGCUCUGAUGAGUGGUAUUGUGGCAGGUCAUGAGGUGCUGUGGGAACACAAAUCUGGCCAAGUUUGCCAGAAAAUGAGAGGCAUUUCAUGAAAAGCAGAUGAUAUAGUCAAGGUGAUCUUUUUUAUCAUUGAACAUUUGUCAGCUAAUCAUAAACUUUUAUUUAUUGUGAUUAUUAAAUAAGUUUGGUAAUGAUUAUUGAGAGUAAAGUUACAAUUUCUGGUGUGCAAGAUUGCUUUCCCUGACAUGAAUACAUUGUAUCAUUGUUAUGAAUGUAGCCAUCCGUUAGGGGAGGAUUUUAUCACAGACUUGACAUAGACUUCCACUUAACAUGAUUACUCAGUAGCCUCCUUAAACAUCAGGACUAAAGGAAUAACCUUACAUCUUAGAUUACAUUAUUGAAAUCCAAUAACCAAUUUGUUGAUAAAUAAACACCCUUAAAAUUUUAGAUCUUUUGUUCAGUAAUGGCUACAGUAAUAAAAAUGUGCCAAACUAUGUUUGUCAUUUUAAAGCCAUUAUUUCUCAAAAAGAACGGUUUAUGUUUUAGCUGCCAUUUUAAUUAAGCUUGUUAAAAAUGAAAUGGCCUAAGGAUGAACUCUGUAAACUCCACAUGGGCAGGGCCACUGUUGUAUCAUGGCUUUGCCAGUGUGGUGAUGAGAUCAGGACCUGGCAGAUGUGCUUGGUGAACCUAAUGAACAACCACCUGAGGAAUGACGUGAAGGGGGAGGAGAUUACCACCACUACCAUUGGCUGCUAAUUCAAAACUACUGUGAUGGCGUAGAGCUUAUUUUAGAUAUAUCUGUGAUUCAUUAUUCUUUUGUCACACUUCAGCUUGCCAAUUCUGUAACUCCUUGGGAUAUCUUGCUGAGCUUAAUUGCAGCUGCCACUCAUGAUCUGGAUCAUCCAGGUGUUAAUCAACCUUUCCUUAUUAAAACUAACCAUUACUUGGCAACUUUAUACAAGAAUACCUCAGUACUGGAAAAUCACCACUGGAGAUCUGCAGUGGGCUUAUUGAGAGAAUCAGGCUUAUUCUCACAUCUGCCAUUAGAAAGCAGGCAACAAAUGGAGACACAGAUAGGUGCUCUGAUACUAGCCACAGACAUCAGUCGCCAGAAUGAGUAUCUGUCUUUGUUUAGGUCCCAUUUGGAUAGAGGUGAUUUAUGCCUAGAAGACACCAGACACAGACAUUUGGUUUUACAGAUGGCUUUGAAAUGUGCUGAUAUUUGUAACCCAUGUCGGACGUGGGAAUUAAGCAAGCAGUGGAGUGAAAAAGUAACGGAGGAAUUCUUCCAUCAAGGCAAGUUACAGUAUUGAGUGAUAAUUAAUCUAUCCAGUUCAUUUUUUUUUAACAUCGUAAGAAUAAAAUAACUCAAUAAUUUAUAUGGGUCUAGCAGUAGAGUCUUGACAUUUUUAGUAACAAUUCACAAUAGAUAUACAUCUAAUCAAUACAAAUUGAGCAUCUGUUUUGAAAAUUAGAAGUCCUCUUUUGGAAUGAUCAGAUGUAUUUAUGCAUUUAUGAGUAUAGAUAGAUUAGGUUUGGAAUUUUGCUGUACAGAAAGAUUUCCCUGAACUUGCUUUAUCCUUGUCGUGUGUGGAGGGCCAUAUGAACAUGUAAAACUUUUGUGUGUGUAAUUUAAAACCCGGAUCCAGGAAUCUUUAUUUCAUGAACCUUCCUUUCAGGUUGUAUAUUAAUGUGUUAUAAAUUACAGUCUUGGGGUAACACCUUGCAUUUAAAUAAAAAUAUCAGCUUGGCAAUCUCUUCUAUGUGUAAAUAACUUAAAAUUUUAAAAAGAACUAAUUGCGAAGCUGUCCUCUCAUGAGGAUUAAGUAUGUUUUUCCUAAGAAAUGCACAGGUAUGUUCAAGCCUUUAAUUAUAUAUUUAACCAAUAGAUAUUCUUCAUAUUAAUACUUCUCUUUUUUUAAUUUAUAGGAGAUAUAG